CUUUUAAGGAGGAGCAGACCACCUGCUCUACAAAGAUGGGGACAUGACUGUCAUUUGUUUGGUGAGCAGAUGUGCCAGCUACCCAGAGGGGACAGUCAUGGUACUUGGUGAGAUUCUGCCAGCCUUGUAUCCAAGAGAGUUUUGGAGUCAGGCUAGAUUGCUCUGCCCCAACACCAUCCUGAGAACUGACUGUUAAAUUUCAGUGUGAGCAUUUCCACUUUGGGAGCUGGCCAGUGCUACAAAUCAGGGACUUGAAUUAAGAAAUGAUGCCUGCUUUGCCAUUCACAAAAUUCUUGAAGGUAGGAACCCUGGGCAAAAGAUACCCUGUUCCUGUCUCAAGGAGGGAAUUCUUUGUGCCAACAAAAUCACAGAGCUGUCCUUUUUCUUGUAAUGAAGCUGAGAUAACAGUCAGGGAGUACAUUGGAAAGGCAGAACAUUGUACUGAAGAUCUGUGGCACUUGGAAAAUGUCUACCUAAGAUUCUCUCAGAGGGAAAAUUAAUUGAAAUACAAAAUGGAAAAGCUAAAGAAAACAAGUGAACUACUGUGGGUCCCUUAGGUUCUUCCAUUUUGGCUGAAGCUGUUUCCGCUGAUGAAUAAGAGCUGCCCGUUUGCUCCAUGCUAUGGCUGCUGCUAACUGCUGUGGAUGUCUUUGCUUAAGGAAUGUCUCAAGAAAAACAAACUGUGCUUGUAAGUUGUGAAUUCCAGAAAACAGAUGAGGCGAAUUCUCUCUCCUCUUCCUUCUCUUCCUUUUCCUUUUCCAAAUAGCAGGGUCAAAUUGGAACCAAAGCUUAUUGUACAAACAGAAGCAAAUGAAAGAAAUAUUGGAUUUGUAUGAGCUUCUUAUGGAAUUACUAGUUCUAAAACCAAAUACAUACGCAGAGUGAAUGCUACUGAAUCAGAUAGAAAAUACAACUUGGAGCAGAAGAGAUAGCAACACACAUUUAGAAUACAAUGGUAAUGAGAGACAUGUGGAGGAUACAGUGGUACCAAAUGGGUAACGUAACUCCUGGAAAUUUACAACUAGGAAGACCUUUCUUGAGUGUAAAACCAGCACUACUUUUUGGUGUAAAAGAAUAUUCUCCUUAAACUUGUCUUGUCCAUUAAGGGACUAGCUUUUCUUUUGUAUACACCUGUCCUCACUGUGCCACUCAACUAAAUGAGCUACACAUGUUCUACAUGUGUGGGAUUGUCUCCUACUAGUCCACUCUCUCUGAUGAGAUGGUUUAUGUGAAGUAGCCAGAAGAGAGAAAGAAAUUCCUUCCCACAAGUGUUUCACUCUUAGGAAUUAUGGAAUCAUAAGCUUUCAAACGAGUUCUCUAAUACAGGACUGCUCCAACUCUGGAAUCCAGGUUACUGUUGACAGUCUUCUAGUUAUUUGUAUUCCCCAGAGGCUUGGUUAAUAAGUUUGGUCAGUCAAUCUGUUAUUCCUUUCUUUACCUAAUCAAAGAAGUUCCCGCCUCAUAAAGACAUCACAGAGUAUAGAACAUCUUAUUUACACUUUUUUAAAUGAUAUUUUACAAAUUUCAUGUAAUAAUUUUUCACAUAAGUUUUCUCAAGUCAUAGGCUUCAAACUGUCUCCCUUUGUCCCGUCCCUCCCCUUUCCUGGAGAUGACAAGCAAUUGGAUGUGGAUUUUACAUGUAAUAUCAUGCAAAAUAUAUUUCUAUAUUAUUCAUUUUUGUAAGGUAAUAAUAAUAAAACUAAAAUCCCCAAAUAUACUCUUUUCA
rnacentral:lncRNA from 1 species